rnacentral:SRP_RNA from 1 species
CAUCGGUCCCCUCGCAACGAUAAACUGUGGACUCGGUCAGGCCCGGAAGGGAGCAGCCGCAGCAGUUGACUCGUGUGCCGGGGUGCGGCUGGUGUGG